rnacentral:miRNA from 10 species
GUGUGUGUGUGUGUGUGUGUACAUAUGUGUGUGUGUAUAUAUAUACACACAUAUAUACAUAUAUAUACAUAUAUACAUAUAUACAUAUAUACACAUAUAUAUAUACGUGUGUAUAUAUA